rnacentral:lncRNA from 1 species
UUCAGGAUCAAGACUGUUGGCCAGAUCUGAGUGAAAAAUAACUACCCACAAAAACUUCGUUUCUUCCUCAUUCCCUCCUCCUCUGUGGUCUGCACCUCCCCACGCUGAUGGAGGAACCUGCAAUUCCAGAACUAAUACUCUGGCUCUCCUCCCGUGAAUCCUAAUUGGCUGCGCAGAGGCUCCCCCUCCUGUCCUAUCUCUAGCGUGGCAUGGCCAUCUGCCCCCCAGGAGGCUUGAGGCGGUCUCCGCUCUCCGCCUUGGCUGCUGACCAUGCAUAGAGAGGACAGGGAAGACGCUGAGAGUGAGGGAGGAGGUAAUGAUGAGAGAUAAUGAAGAAUGUGAGAAAAUCCUUCAUGGGGAAACCUGUGCCCUGGGAAGAGAGAGAAUGGGGAAGAAAUGGAGGCCAUCGGAGCCUUAAGUUUAUCAGGCAAUGAGGACCCAGGGAUCUGUGCGAAGAGGAUGAAACUUCAUUGCCAUCGCAUUUGUUAAGCAGCUUUCUGUGUGCGUUUUUCACAGCAUGCUGAAUGUGUCCUUGGCAAGGGAAGCUGAUGUCAGUGAGCAUCUCAGCAUUACCGGUAGGACACGAAAAAGCCUGGAUCAGGGAUUAAGCCGAGGGCUUGCUGAUGAGGAUGAACAACCAGGGACAGAUGCGUGCUCCCUGAUAAGAAUGGGUCACCCUCCAGAUCUAAGCAGAGAAAACAAUGAGGAAGGACUUCGGAAUUACACAGCUCCGGAGUGCAAUGAUGACAACGCUCACAGCAAUGGGACACUGGUUUAUAAGAAGUUGCGUGAGACUGAAUAGACCGCCAAGGAUAGGCUGCAAGAGGGGGCAGGGUUUGCAUACCAGAUCUGAGGACCCCUCUGGAAUAACUAGGGGCCUGCCCUUGUUUAGGAUUUAGCUAUUCUUCCCCUCCUCACUUUCUCAUUUACUUCUCUUUUUCCUCUCUCUAGAAUCAUUUAUGUCAGCAACAGUCUUCUUCCACAUAUCUCUUCAUUACUUUCCAUUGUGCUGCCAGCCAUCUACUGGUCAAUCUUAAUUCCAAGCCAGCCUCACCUUUCUGGAGAAUAAAGGCUUUUCCAUCACUAAUUGGCAUCAUCAGUGCUAUGGUCUGAAUGUUUUUGUGCCCCCUCCCAAAAAAAUUUUUUUUCAUUUGUUGAAAUCCUUAUGCCCAGUGUGAUGGUAUCUUGUGGAAGAACUUAGGUAUUGAGGGUGGAGCCCUCAUGAAUGGGAUUGAUAUUCUUAUAAAAUAAAUCCUACAGAGUUCCCUAGCCCCUUCCAUUGUGUAAGGACCCAGUAAAAAUCUGCACCACAGAAAAGGGCCCUCCAAGUUCCCACCGUGGCUCAGCGGUAACAAACCCAACUAGUAUCUAUGAGGAUGCAGGUUUGAUCCCUGGUCUCACUCAGUGGGUUAAGGAUCCAGCAUUGCCAUGAGCUGUGGUCUAGGUCUCAGAUGCUACUCAGAUCCCACAUUGCCAUGGCUGUGGUGUGGUGUAGGACGGCAGUUGCAGCUCUGAUUCAACCCCUAGCCUAGGAACGUCCAUGUGCUGCAGGUGCAGCCCUAAAAAGCAAAAGAAGAAAAAAGAAAAGUGCCCUCAUCUGACCAUGAUGGCAUCCUGAUCUUGGACUUCCACCAUCCAGAACUGUGAGAAAUAAAUUUCUAUGGCUUAUAAGCCACCCAGUCUGUGGUAUUUUGUUAUAGCAGCAGAGCUAAGACAAUCAGGCAUAUUUUAUAGGACUGUCCUCAGGCCACUGAAAAAGACCCUAGAGCACCAGGAGGAUGGUAUUCCCAGUCAAAUCCGUAAGAAAUGACUCUUUCUCUGCUAAUAAAGACUAUACAACAGGCUUGUCAUGAAAAGGUUAAGGAUUGGGUCAACUUGAGUGCAUGUAUCUAAGCUCUUUCACAGCUGAUGAGAAAAACCACUCAGAGGCUUGAAUUCAUGAUGGUAUUAGGAGAGAGAGAAAAGAAAAGCAAAGUUGGAAAGAUACCAAAGGGGAAGGCAGAAUGGCAGUGACAGACCCAGGGAGAUCAGGAUAAAGGGAGAAAGGGUUAACUGGUUUGGAGUUAUCAGAACAGCAAUGUGCUUCUUUGUUUCUGAGUUGCAGUAGCAUUCAAAAUAACAUGAAAAGGUAAAUCUGACUCUUACAAAGGCAAGACUGCAUUUUCUGUCCAUCCUUCACCCCUUUCCCCAGCCCAGGUUUCUCUCAGGAGAAUGCAUCCCAUGGGAGAAAGCCAACCCUGAGAUCACUUCAACCCCUCUGUCAGCAGGACACCACAAUCAAAGCUGAUGGGAAGGAGUAUUAUUCUGAUGAAUAGCAUUAACUUCAGUGUCAGGAGCCUCACAAGCAUGGGGUGGGAGGGGCUGUGGAGAGGCCAGCACAAUGGAGACUUUUAUUGGAUUGGUAGGCUUUUAGCCAGGCCCUGCUGCUUUGAAAGUAAACAGCAUCUCCCUGCUUGCAGAGGUAAUGGAGCUGUUAGGGCGCCAUUCAAGUCUAAGAAAAGACCAGAACACAUCAUCCCCGCAACAAUGGGCAAUCCCUUAACCUGGUUACAAAGUAAGACAGAGCCCUCCCUCCCACCUGCCCUGGCCCCCAGUACUGUUUCCCUUGAUGGAAUAGCAAGUUCUUGAAGUCAGGCCACGAAAAACUCCAGGAAAGCAGAUGCAGCAGAGGCAGAGAUGGAGAGAUCGGAUGGAAUUGCAACAAAAUAGAGAGAAUGGGCAAUGGUUAAUUUGAGAAAAUAAAGGAGAGGAUGUAUAAAAAGAAAGAAAACCCAAAAGGCAAUAGCCAGGUAAGAGAGGAAUAAGAAGAGAAAGGGGAAUUUAAGGAAAUGGAAGGAGAGUCAAAUUGAUCUGAAAUGUUUCUGCUGAGUGAGCCUGAGUUAGACUCACCAUUUACUGACUGAGCAUCUUGUUCUCUUAUUUCCUCUUUGUGUUAUAAACAGACCACAGCAUCAUCUGGGUCUCAACAAAGCUGACUGUCACAUGGGGGUGCUGCAUAGACCUGGGCCCAAUGUUUUCCUUUGGAAAAGAUUGAGGGGAGAAAAAUUGUUUUCUUUCAAUGAAUAAUGAUUGUUGCAUUGAUGGAAACAAAAAUAUCAUCCUUUCCUGGUGUUGAGGAAAUGAACUUACAAAACGACUCUUUAAUCACUCAGGAUGCUUCUUAACUCUUUUCCCCAUCCUCAAGGGUCCCACAGAGAAGCGCAAAAUACUAGAGGGGAUGUGUAAUACUAGAUGUGUAUUAAGCAAGCUACAGGUGGAGAUCAGUGGCCUUGGCCUGUGUUGGGUCUGAAUGCUGUGCAGCGCUGCUGCCCUCUAGUCUCCAUCAAGUUUGCAGACACCGUCCCUGCUGGUUGUUAAAAGAGGCUAGUGCUACCCAGGCUUUUCCAUGCCUGUAACCUUCAGUGUGGCUGCCCUGUUAAGCUCUUGUCCACUCUUGUUGCAUAGCUCUCUUUUAUAGAGAGAGAGAGAAAGGCAGGACGACAAGGAGGUGAAAAGUAACCAAAAGGAGGAAGUACUCAAGGAAAACGCCUCUAACUAAAUAUCGUUCCACACUGACCACCAACCACAGUGGCGUUAUUGUGUCUUCUUUCUGAGUGCAUUCCCCAAACUGCCUUCUCCAUCUCAUGUCACAGCUUUGCCUCCAGGUUCUGUAUCUCCCUCUUAUGUUUUCUUCCUUUGGCUUUCAUUCCAUUCCUGGGGAAGGAACUUCAACAUUUAUUUAGUAUCUGUGAAAGAUACAAACUGUGAAAGACACAAAGUGGCUGGAGGGGUCCUGACUCCUAGGUGCUCAGAGUCAAGUGGGUGACAUAAAACGAACAAAUAUGAACCAUUCAGCAAACAAUAGUCUGAUGCUUAGGUGGGUGAGGGAAACAGCAAACAAAAAUGUACCAUUGUAUUGUUAGUUGUGCUUCUGGCUAUGAAUGACACUGUCCAUGGUUCCAAACUGCUAAACGGCUCUGGGCCAAUUUUUGAGUCCAUCUCAUUCAACCUGUGAAGGACCAUUCAGAGUUUAAUGUAUCAGCAAAAAAGAGGGAGGUUCACACACACCCCCCUAAACACAUCAUCAGGGCCAGACAGAGCUGGGGAACUCUCUUUUCUAUAAAUUAAGAAGUAAGACAGAGAAAGCAAAGGAGGAGAUAUGUUAUAAUGAGUAGAUAAAGAGAAAGCAUGAAUACACACACAUAGACAUUUUUUCCCCACCUUUUUUCCCCACCUCCGUGUUUAGAAGGAGGUUAGCAAGGGUAUGUGUUUUGUUGUUUUGUCUUCUGACUUACAGACCAGAGCCAAGAUAGGAAAUCCAUAUUUUCCAUAGGAGGCAGGGCCAGAGGAGAAAAGAUAUCAAGCAGAUUAUCACAGGUACAAAUCUUCGGCAUUAAGUGCAAAGGACAUAACUACAAAGAAAAAAAAAACAACACAAAUCAUAAAUAUUCUGCCAUCCCAACCCUACGAACUUGGAUGGUACAAUUUUUGGUAUAACUUUGUAAGCAUUUUGCUUGAUUGCAUAUAUCUCAGUUGCUGACCUAAUUUUGUCAUGCUGUGUAUUGUAUAUCUAUACCACAGAAUUAGAAGUGGGUUGAAAUGGUUCAAAGAAGUUGAGUUUGCCCUAAUCCCCAAAUAGAACCCCAAAUUAUUUUUUGGAAGUUGAAAAUGUUUGAGUGGCUAUAUAUCCCCCAUUUUAUUAAUUAUGCAUCCAUCCUGACAUGAUUCCUCAAUUUGACUAUUCUGAGAGUGAGGCCUCACAUGCUUGCCUAGAUAAGAACCUGUGUUUUUGUUUUUGUUUUUUUUUUCUUUUUAAAAUGUUUAAAGCUAAGAAUAUCCCUAGAAGUUUUGGUUUCUUUAGACCUAUGGCAUUUUUUCCAAAUCCAACAAAGAGUUUCAAUAAUGAGACUGGAAGUUUGUUCUCAAUAGCUGUGCUUAUCCAGGCAUUUUGCAGUUCACCUAUCAAAUCCAGCAUAACAGUCCUGGCCUAGGAAACUAAGCUCAUCUCUGCUGCUCUGCUAGGAAGGGGCCUCACACUGUUCCGUAGAGGGUCUACAGGUUAAGCUUCUAAGAGAUCAGAAUCAUCAUAAUUGGACCCAAAAGGAUGGAAUAAAGCCAAUGCUUUGCUUUCCCAAGAGUAAAGCAAAAAGAAAAAAAAAAAAAAAAGAAAGAAAUAGAAAAUAGAGUUAAGAAAACGCAAGCAAAAAACAUGUUAGUAAAAUUUAUUCUUCUCUCCUUAUCCAAAAUAUCCACUUUUAUCAAAGCCCAUGGGAUUUUUCGUCUACUUAAUAUAUUUAGCCUCCAAGUUAAUCUCCCUGCCCCUUAUUCAACUGACAGAUUGAUUUUUAGUAUGUUACCAUUUCAGUAGGGCAAAAAUGGUUAAUUAUCAGCAAUUUCAUAUGAUUCAAUUGGAUCCUUCACUUAUUUCAGUAGAUUUCUUCCUCGUACAAAAUUCCAUAAUGUCUCAUUAAUACUUUAUGGACUAAAACCAAAAAUCUGAAAUGUAGAACUCAUGUGUACCUCUUACCUGUCAGGUAUUGUGCUUCCCUGUCCUUUAGCCAGUAAAGGCCUUCUCCACAGUACCUCCUUAUAUAAAGAUGUCACAAAUUCUGCCUCUGGAAUGUUCAUUUUAAAAAGUCCUGAGUUGCGGCUCAGUGAUAACGAACCCGACUAGUAUCCAUGAGGACACAGGUUCAAUCCCUGGCCCCACUCAUUUGGUUAAGGAUCCAGAAUUGCCAUGAGCUGUGGUGUAGGUCGCAGACGUGGCUUGGAUCCAGCAUUGCUGUGGCUGUGGUAUAGGCCAGCAGCUGCAGCUCCAAUUCAACCCCCAGCCUAGGAACUGCCAUAUGCUGAGUG